CCUACGGGUGGCUGCAGUGAGGAAUAUUGGUCAAUGGGCGCGAGCCUGAACCAGCCAAGUCGCGUGAGGGAAGACGGUCUUAUGGACUGUGAACCUCAUCUGCCGGGGAGCAAAAGACGCCACGUGUGGCGUUCCGAGAGUCCCCGAAGAAAAAGGACCGGCAAAUUACGCGCCAGGAGCCGGGGUAAUACGGAGGAGGCGAGGGUUAACCGGAUUUAUUGGGUUAAAGGGGUGAGUAGGCGGAAGCUCAAGUCAGCGGUAAAAUUGAGGGGCUCAACCUCUUCGAGCCGUUGAAACUGGUUUGCUUGAGUGAGCGAGAAGUAUGCGGAAUGCGUGGUGUAGCGGUGAAAUGCAUAGAUAUCACGCAGAACUCCGAUUGCGAAGGCAGCAUACCGGCGCUCAACUGACGCUCAUGCACGAAGGUGUGGGUAUCGAACAGGAUUAGAUACCCCUGUAGUC
rnacentral:rRNA from 1 species